AAUUUAUAAUAUUUAUUCGAACGUUUAAGAGCAUGAGUGGAAAAAUGGUAAAUUAUCGAAAGAAUGUACAAUAUCUUCCAAAAAAGCAUUUAGGAUGCGUAAUUAUCAAAAGAGAGAUGCUUUAUUAAAAACAUAUAUGCUGCUAUAUAAAAAUAAAUAAAUAUGACCAGCAGCAGAUAAAAUCAAAAUAACUUAUAAAAUACAUAUAAAGACAAAAAAGCCAAACUCAUGCUCAUGGUCAGGCGAGAAAUGUUAGUUCAGCACAGAAAGUAUGGACUGAACAGAAUUUUGCAAUAUAGAAAACUCGUAAAAAUCAGCAACAGAUUGAUAAACGUUUAACAUUUCACGAAACUUUGUAGGUGAAAGCUGUAAUACCCAUUCUCCGCUGCAUGAACAGCGUUCCUUUAAUGACCAUUGCUUAACUGUCUUACAUUUAGAACAAAUCAAAUCUUGCAGUUGAUAUAAUGUCAAUUGAUGGUAUAAGUUAUCCACCAAAGUUUCCUCAAACACCCAUCGAUCGUAAACUAAGUUACAGCUGGAACAAGACCAUCCGUCAGAAAACACCAAGGUCCCCAUGUCAUCGCGAGUAGGCCAUAGAUGCUCAUGUAAACAAAGGUCAAAAUCCUGAUGGACGCCACACUGCUUACAGGGUAUUUGAUCAAGUGAAAGUCGACGACUAGGAUAUCGAAAUACCGCCUGAGUGGAAAACUCUUGAAUUUGUAAAAGUGACAAUAAACUCUUUUUUAAAAAACGGACCUCCAAAUUGAGAUCAUGGGAGAGUUCAAAAACAGCACAGAUGCUUUUAACCAAUUCUAGAGCGCCAUCAGUAUAGUUAAGAAAAGAACCUGGCAACUUUGGAAAUUUAAGAUCUUCUCUGGUAUUUUCAUCAAGCUGAAGCUCUUGAAAACAUCUCCUUACUUGAGCAACUUUCCGUUUAAGAGGAUGUAUCAACUUACUUUUUAAAAUUCCCGAUCCAACUAUUUCAGAGUCCUCAUCAGCAUUGUUGUUUUUCACGCGAACAAACCCAACUUUUGUAUUAGACUUUUCUAAUUUUUGCUUAUAAACCUCUUCAAUAAACUCAACAAUCCAACUCUGAAAUUCGGGCUGAAUGAUUGGAGGUAAAUGACUUUUAAUGUGCCAUGAAACAACUGUCUGUGGUUCUUCAUUUGUAGCUGAAAAAUUUGCUGCCACCAUUUUUCCUCCAUAAUUAACGGAAUCCAUCCAUAAAAGAUAAUCCCAGUAUUCCGUGACAUUUAGAUCCAAAAAGUGAAAUAGUGGUAACGUCUUAAUGGAUUUGAGUAAAUAAUUUGAAUAAGUGACAGCGUUCUGGACGAUUAAUUUGCUCGUUUUGAUUAAUAUUUUAUUAGCAGAAGCGUGUAUGAUAUGUGCUCCAAGGCGUUUUAUCUCAGAGAGAAGUUGUAAAAAAGUUUUUCUCAUUAUAACUUCCACGUGCGAGGAGAGUAAAGGACUGUACAGAUAAGAUUUUGAUGAAGAAAUCCAUCGGGCUAAAUGUUGAAUUAUAAGAUCAGCGAGAUUAUUACCGGAUGCAGCUUCGUUCCACCAAGUUUUAACCAACGCCUUCAACACCGGCAAUGAAUGUGUCAGUCCAAUAUUAUCAUGUAUUCCCAACUUUUCCUCCAGAUCAUCAUUUAUGGCGGUCAUGUAAUUAUCAUUCAAAGCUGCCAUGUCGCCAAUACCUUCUAUGUCAUUUAUGAGAGCAGAAUUGAGAAUGCUACAAAGUGCAAGGUUGGAAAGAGAAAUGUCAACACAAGCAUUUGAAUAAGCACCAGGAUUGUUAACUUCUAGUGGAUCUUUGGGACUGGCAAUCUGCAGAAUACUAUCCUUCUCAAUACCACCUAAGUCUGGAGUUGGGCCUUUAUUCCACCAAAGGAUAAUAUUAUGUUCUUUCAGCUUUCUAGAGUAAACAACAUCGAUACUGUACUGAAUGUCAUCGCUUUCAAAGUUGCAUAAUGGGAUAUCUGAGAAGCGAGAAAGUUGUAUGCGAUGGAAAAGCCAGCUACCAAUAGCUAAGAAAUGUUGGAUCAUUUUCGUAGCAAUGUGUUGUUUCCAAGAAAGAGACUGUAUGUUGCUCUCAAGCCGUGGUAUCAUUAUAUACGGAAGCUCUUCAAUUUGCUUCACAUUUGCCUUCAAUAUGUGAGGGAGUGAACUUUCAAUAAUAAGCAGACUAUUUUUAGUUUUAGUUGAAAAAUAUUGAAGCAACUUUUCAUCUAUCAGUUUGUACGCUUUCCUUUCGUUUCCCGAGAAAAUGACAUUACACGAAAGAGUAUCAGGGUAUUCGAUACUACUUUCCUUAAUUAAAUUAUCAAAUUUCGACCGUAGCUCUUCGUAAAUUUUGCUGAUUGAUGGGAAAGACAU